rnacentral:rRNA from 1 species
UGGAUGAGUACAAUUUAAACCACUUAACGAGUAUCCAUUGGAGGGCAAGUCUGGUGCCAGCAGCCGCGGUAAUUCCAGCUCCAAUAGCGUAUAUUAAAGUUGUUGCAGUUAAAAAGCUCGUAAUUGAAUUUCGGAAGAGAGUUCCUGGUCUAGGUUCGCCUUGUACUGGGAGGCUCGAAUCUUUUUUCUGGGGAAGCGGGGUGUCUUUAACUGGGCGCCUCGGGGAACCAGGACAAUUACCUUGAGAAAAAUAUAGUGUUUAAAGCAGGCUUUUGCUUGAAUACAUUAGCAUGGAAUAAUAAAAUAGGACUUUGGUUCUAUUUUGUUGGUUUUAAGGACCAAUGUCAUGAUGAAUAGGGACAGUUGGGGGCAUUCGUAUUCCUAAGCUAGAGGAGG